GGCUGCGAAGCUCAUGCGGAUGAGCAGGCGUCUCAUAAGCGCAAGGUAGUCAGUUCGAAUCUGACCGCAGCCACCA
rnacentral:tRNA from 1 species